UACGUAGGGGGCGAGCGUUGUCCGGAGUUACUGGGCGUAAAGCGCACGCAGGCGGUCUGCUAAGUUUGGAGUGACAGUUGGUGGCUUAACUGCCAAAGUGCUUCGAAAACUGACAGACUUGAGGGCUUCAGAGGGACACGGAAUUCCGGGUGGAGUGGUGAAAUGCGUAGAGAUCCGGAGGAACACCAAAGGCGAAGGCAGUGUCCUGGGGAGUACCUGACGCUCAGGUGCGAGAGCCAGGGGAGCGAACGGGG
rnacentral:rRNA from 1 species